rnacentral:rRNA from 1 species
GAUGAACGCUGGCGGCGUGCCUAAUACAUGCAAGUCGAGCGAACAGACGAGGAGCUUGCUCCUCUGACGUUAGCGGCGGACGGGUGAGUAACACGUGGAUAACCUACCUAUAAGACUUGGAUAACUUCGGGAAACCGGAGCUAAUACCGGAUAAUAUAUUGAACCGCAUGGUUCAAUAGUGAAAGACGGUUUUGCUGUCACUUAUAGAUUGAUCCGCGCCGCAUUAGCUAGUUGGUAAGGUAACGGCUUACCAAGGCGCCGAUGCGUAGCCGACCUGAGAGGGUGAUCGGCGACACUGGAACUGAGACACGGUCAAGACUCCUACGGGAGGCAGCAGUAGGGAAUCUUACGCAAUGGGCGAAAGCCUGACGGAGCAACGCCGAGUGAGUGAUGAAGGUCUUCGGAUCGUAAAACUCUGUUAUUAGGGAAGAACAAAUGUGUAAGUAACUAUGCACGGCUUGACGGUACCUAAUCAGAAAGCCACGGCUAACUACGUG